rnacentral:rRNA from 1 species
GAGUUUGAUCAUGGCUCAGGAUGAACGCUAGCGGCAGGCUUAACACAUGCAAGUCGAGGGGUAGCAGGAUUUAGUUUACUAGAUUGCUGACGACCGGCGCACGGGUGAGUAACGCGUAUACAAUUUGCCUUUUACUGGAGGAUAGCCAAGAGAAAUUUUGAUUAAUACUCCAUAGUAUUAUUAGACCACCUGGUUUGAUAAUUAAAGCUCCGGCGGUAAAAGAUGAGUAUGCGUCCUAUUAGCUAGAUGGUAAGGUAACGGCUUACCAUGGCGACGAUAGGUAGGGGUCCUGAGAGGGAGAUCCCCCACACUGGUACUGAGACACGGACCAGACUCCUACGGGAGGCAGCAGUGAGGAAUAUUGGGCAAUGGAGGCAACUCUGACCCAGCCAUGCCGCGUGCAGGAAGACGGCCCUAUGGGUUGUAAACUGCUUUUAUACAGGAAGAAACUUAUCCACGUGUGGAUAACUGACGGUACUGUAAGAAUAAGACCGCUAACUCC